UGGGGAAUUUUGGACAAUGGGCGAAAGCCUGAUCCAGCAAUGCCGCGUGUGUGAAGAAGGCCUUCGGGUUGUAAAGCACUUUUGUCCGGAAAGAAAUCCUUGGCUCUAAUACAGUCGGGGGAUGACGGUACCGGAAGAAUAAGCACCGGCUAACUACGUGCCAGCAGCCGCGGUAAUACGUAGGGUGCAAGCGUUAAUCGGAAUUACUGGGCGUAAAGCGUGCGCAGGCGGUUUGCUAAGACCGAUGUGAAAUCCCCGGGCUCAACCUGGGAACUGCAUUGGUGACUGGCAGGCUAGAGUAUGGCAGAGGGGGGUAGAAUUCCACGUGUAGCAGUGAAAUGCGUAGAGAUGUGGAGGAAUACCGAUGGCGAAGGCAGCCCCCUGGGCCAAUACUGACGCUCAUGCACGAAAGCGUGGGGAGCAAACAGGAUUAGAUACCCUGGUAGUCCACGCCCUAAAACGAUGUCAACUAGUUGUUGGGGAUUCAUUUCCUUAGUAACGUAGCUAACGCGUGAAGUUGACCGCCUGGGGAGUACGGUCGCAAGAUUAAAAACUUAAAGGAAUUGACGGGGUCAUAGCUGUUCCU
rnacentral:rRNA from 1 species